GGGAGGUAGUGACAAUAAAUAACAAUACAGGGUUCUUUUGGAUCUUGUAAUUGGAAUGAGUACAAUUUAAAUCUCUUAACGAGGAACAAUUGGAGGGCAAGUCUGGUGCCAGCAGCCGCGGUAAUUCCAGCUCCAAUAGCGUAUAUUAAAGUUGUUGCAGCUAAAAAGCUCGUAGUUGAAUUUCGGGAUCAAUUUAUCGGUCGUGCCUACGGUAUGAACUGGUACAAUUGGUUUCUCCCUUCUGACGAAGCAUGACGUCAUUAAUUUGGUGUCGUGGGGAAUCAGGACUGUUACUUUGAAAAAUUAGAGUGUUUAAAGCAAGCAUUAGCUUGAAUACAUUAGCAUGGAAUAAUGAAAUAGGACGUUUGAUCCUAUUUCGUUGGUUUCUAGGAUUGACGUAAUGAUUAAUAGGGAUAGUUGGG
rnacentral:rRNA from 1 species